rnacentral:rRNA from 1 species
UACAGAGGUCCCAAGCGUUGUUCGGAUUCACUGGGCGUAAAGGGUGCGCAGGCGGUCGUGUGUGUCAGAUGUGAAAUCCCGGAGCUUAACUCCGGAACUGCGUCUGAAACUACACGACUAGAGCAUUGGAGAGGGAAGUGGAAUUCAUGGUGUAGCAGUGAAAUGCGUAGAUAUCAUGAGGAACACCAGAGGCGAAGGCGACUUCCUGGACAAUUGCUGACGCUCAGGCACGAAAGCAUGGGGAGCAAAAGGG